UCCAGUUUCCUGUACAUGGAACCAUGCCUGUCCUCUGUUCCACAUGUCUUCAGUCAGUUCUGGACCCCAUGACUCGGACACUAGUUCUACCAAGGCUCAUUAGAGUUUGCUACAAGAAGUGGCUUCAACAGACAGAAAUGCAGGCCAGAUUGGGAAAGGCUGGACGCUACACAACGGGAAACAUUAUGGACAUGAACAAGGAAAAA